UAUAAGACUGUAAGGGUUGUUGGAGACUACGACGUAGAUAGGUCUGGUGUGUAAGUGGUGUGAGCCAUUGAGCUAACAGAUACUAAUUGCCCGAGAGGCUUAACUAU
rnacentral:rRNA from 1 species